rnacentral:lncRNA from 1 species
GUUUAUUUCAACAGUAAAUCUGAAACUCUUGCCUUAAGCAAGAGUACUACAGUAAUUAUAUCAGGAAUAGACAAUUUCCUACACUGUCAAAUAUAUAAAAGUUCCUUUUGCACUUUCUUCAACACUGAUCAACAAGCAGAUUCAGUCCACAUUUGCUUUGAUCUAACUACUGAGUUAACCCAAGCUUCUUCUUCAGAGACUCUGGCAUCUCGGGUGGAGGAGGGCGAGGAAGUCUGAAGUAGACCUUCACGGAGUCAUAGAUAAACCACUGUAGUGCAGUCAGGGUACCAAUCAUGAUGAUACGGGCAAACAGUCCCUUCCAUACACCUUUAAAUCCAAGUCUCUUGAGGACCAGAGAAGCACUGCUACCUUUUUCUUUAUUCAACACAGAUACCACAGAAUCAGCAGGGUGAGAAACAAUUGCACAAAAGACUCCAGCUAUGUAACCUGCUACAAAUGUUACAACCAGCUGCUCUGGCUUUGAACAUUCACUGCGGGGCUUAGGAACCACAAACUUGUACAGUGCUUCAACAGUACGUUCAAAGCAGGCGAACUUCAUCAUGGUGUAUGGUAUCUGUCUCAUCCAGAGAGGAGCAACCCCCUUGUAGAAUGCUUUUAGGCCUUCUUCCUUAUACAUUUUGGGAG